CAGCCGCCGCGGGAAUACAGAGGGUGCGAGCGUUGAUCGGAUUUACUGGGCGUAAAGCGUGCGUAGGCGGCUUCUUAAGUCGGAUGUGAAAUCCCUGAGCUUAACUUAGGAAUUGCAUUCGAUACUGGGAAGCUAGAGUAUGGGAGAGGAUGGUAGAAUUCCAGGUGUAGCGGUGAAAUGCGUAGAGAUCUGGAGGAAUACCGAUGGCGAAGGCAGCCAUCUGGCCUAAUACUGACGCUGAGGUACGAAAGCAUGGGGAGCAAACAGGAUUAGAUACCCCUGUAGUCCCUGUCUCUUAUAC
rnacentral:rRNA from 1 species